rnacentral:rRNA from 1 species
GAUGAACGCUGGCGGCGUGCCUAAUACAUGCAAGUCGAGCGAACGGACGAGAAGCUUGCUCCUCUGAUGUUAGCGGCGGACGGGUGAGUAACACGUGGAUAACCUACCUAUAAGACUGGGAUAACUUCGGGAAACCGGAGCUAAUACCGGAUAAUAUUUUGAACCGCAUGGUUCAAUAGUGAAAGACGGUCUUGCUGUCACUUAUAGAUGGAUCCGCGCUGCAUUAGCUAGUUGGUAGGGUAACGGCUUACCAAGGCAACGAUGCGUAGCCGACCUGAGAGGGUGAUCGGCCACACUGGAACUGAGACACGGUCCAGACUCCUACGGGAGGCAGCAGUAGGGAAUCUUCCGCAAUGGGCGAAAGCCUGACGGAGCAACGCCGCGUGAGUGAUGAAGGUCUUCGGAUCGUAAAACUCUGUUAUUAGGGAAGAACAAAUGUGUAAGUAACUGUGCACAUCUUGACGGUACCUAAUCAGAAAGCCACGGCUAACUACGUG